GGGAGUCGGGGGAGGUGUGGUGAGAUGUCCGGGAGUCCUUGGCAUGUAUCACAAGACCGGGGCAUCGACCGACUUAUUUAGUGUAUUUGAAAGGGAAAUUUUUCUGUGAAGUGACCUUACAGCCCCAGCUCACCCGCAGCCUUCCACGUUCAGCUUUUUGCACACAUCGUGGAGCAGGACUGCUGCCUUGGCGUGCAUUGGUUCACACAAUGGCAGGCUGUGAAGUCGUCACACGUAGGCUGGCUCUGCUCGAAACUGCUGGAUCUCCUUUAGCGUAGCGGCAGCGUGGAAACACCUGGGGGGUGGGGGUGUUGAAUGAGGAUGAUGAUGGAAAGCCUUCCCUGAAGAGCAUAGCUGUAACUUUCUGUCCAGGUCCUGCUGAGAGGCUCUGUAGCUAUUUCACUUUGCAAUUUUGAAUUUUGUUUGUUUAUUUUGUUUUACAUGCAUAUGUAUCCCUUUUUCCUCUGAACUUUUAUUUGUUUUAAACAAUAUGACUAGAAACUAUAGCGAAUAGAGUAAUUUACUUUGCAUGUCCUCAAGCAAUGUGGCCCACAGGGUGAUAUUUUGUUAAAUAUAAAUUGGAAAAACACUGGUGUAACUGAGUUUAAUUUAAAAAGAGAAAAGUUUGCCUCAGGUUGAGUUUUACGUGGUCGCACCUUAAAGGCUAUAAGUAUUGCUAAUUAGUCAAAUAAAAUAUUAAUAAACCUCAA